UUAAAUGAAUUGACGGGGAGCACCACAACGGGUGGAGCUUGCGGUUUAAUUGGAUUCAACGCCGGAAAUCUUACCGGGACCGACAGCGAUAUGAAGGCCAGGCUGAAGACUUUGCCGGAUUAGCUGAGAGGUGGUGCAUGGCCGUCGUCAGUUCGUACUGUGAAGCAUCCUGUUAAGUCAGGCAACGAGCGAGACCCACGCCCACAGUUGCCAGCGUACUCUCCGGAGUGACGGGUACACUGUGGGACCGCCGCUGCUAAAGCGGAGGAAGGAAUGGGCAACGGUAGGUCAGUAUGCCCCGAAUAUCCCGGGCUACACGCGAGCUACAAUGGUUGGUACAAUGGGUACCUACCCCGAAAGGGGAUGGAAAUCUCCUAAAGCCAAUCUUAGUCCGGAUUGAGGGCUGCAACUCGCCCUCAUGAAGCUGGAAUCCGUAGUAAUCGCGUUUCAACAGAACGCGGUGAAUACGUCCCUGCUCCUU
rnacentral:rRNA from 1 species